AUUGAACGCUGGCGGCAUGCCUUACACAUGCAAGUCGAACGGCAGCACGGGUGCUUGCACCUGGUGGCGAGUGGCGAACGGGUGAGUAAUACAUCGGAACAUGUCCUGUAGUGGGGGAUAGCCCGGCGAAAGCCGGAUUAAUACCGCAUACGAUCUACGGAUGAAAGCGGGUGACCUUCGGGCCUCGCGCUAUAGGGUUGGCCGAUGGUUGAUUAGCUAGUUGGUGGGGUAAAGGCCUACCAAGGCGACGAUCAGUAGCUGGUCUGAGAGGACGACCAGCCACACUGGGACUGAGACACGGCCCAGACUCCUACGGGAGGCAGCAGUGGGGAAUUUUGGACAAUGGGCGAAAGCCUGAUCCAGCAAUGCCGCGUGUGUGAAGAAGGCCUUCGGGUUGUAAAGCACUUUUGUCCGGAAAGAAAUACUUGGCCCUAAUACGGUCGGGGGAUGACGGUACCGGAAGAAUAAGCACCGGCUAACUACGUG
rnacentral:rRNA from 1 species